rnacentral:rRNA from 1 species
UACGUAGGGUGCAAGCGUUACUCGGAAUUACUGGGCGUAAAGCGUGCGCAGGCGGUUCGCUAAGACAGAUGUGAAAUCCCCGGGCUUAACCUGGGAACUGCAUUUGUGACUGGCGGGCUAGAGUAUGGCAGAGGGGGGUAGAAUUCCACGUGUAGCAGUGAAAUGCGUAGAGAUGUGGAGGAAUACCAAUGGCGAAGGCAGCCCCCUGGGCCAAUACUGACGCUCAUGCACGAAAGCGUGGGGAGCAAACAGG